CUACGGGUCGCUCCAGUUAGGGAUUUUCUCCAAUGCGCGAAAGCGUGAGAGAGCGAGCCAGAGUGCUUUUCUUUUUAGAAAAGCUUUUGCCAGCUGUAAAAAUGCUGGCGAAUAAGGACUGGGCAAGACCGGUGCCAGCCGCCGCGGUAAUACCGGCGGUCCAAGUCGUAGCCACAAUUAUUGGGUCUAAAACAUUCGUAGCUUGCUAUGUAAGUCUUUUGUGAAAUCUGACAUCUUAAGUGUCAGGCGGGCAAGAGAUACUGCAUAGCUAGAGACUGGUGGAUGCGAGAAGUACAAUUAAGGUAGUGGUAAAAUACGUUGAUCUUGAUUGGACUAACAACAGCGAAGGCAUCUCGCAAUGACAGUUCUGACAGUGAGGGAUGAAGGCUAGGGUCGCGAAAAGGAUUAGAUACCCCUGUAGUC
rnacentral:rRNA from 1 species